rnacentral:rRNA from 1 species
UCGGUUGAUCCUGCCGGACCUGACUGCUAUCGGAUUGAUACUAAGCCAUGCGAGUCAUUGUAGUAAUACAAGGCAGACGGCUCAGUAACGCGUAGUCAACCUACCCUAUGGACGGGGAUAACCUCGGGAAACUGAGAAUAAUACCCGAUAGAACAUUAUGCCUGGAAUGGUUUAUGUUUCAAAUAAUUUAUUGCCGUAGGAUGGGACUGCGGCCUAUCAGUUUGUUGGUGAGGUAAUGGCCCACCAAGACUAUUACAGGUACGGGCUCUGAGAGGAGUAGCCCGGAGAUGGGUACUGAGACACGGACCCAGGCCCUAUGGGGCGCAGCAGGCGAGAAAACUUUGCAAUGUGCGAAAGCACGACAAGGUUAAUCCGAGUGGUUUCUGCUAAAGGAACCUUUUGUCAGUCCUAGAAACACUGAUGAAUAAGGGGUGGGCAAGUUCUGGUGUCAGCCGCCGCGGUAAAACCAGCACCUCNNUGGUCAGGAUGAUUAUUGGGCCUAAAGCAUCCGUAGCCUGCUUUGUAAGUUUUCGGUUAAAUCCAUACGCUCAACGUAUGGGCUGCCGGGAAUACUGCAAAGCUAGGGAGUGGGAGAGGUAGACGGUACUCGGUAGGAAGGGGUAAAAUCCUUUGAUCUAUUGAUGACCACCUGUGGCGAAGGCGGUCUACCAGAACACGUCCGACGGUGAGGGAUGAAAGCUGGGGGAGCAAACCGGAUUANAUACCCGGGUAGUCCCAGCUGUAAACUAUGCAAACUCAGUGAUGCAUUGGCUUGAUGCCA